rnacentral:rRNA from 1 species
AUUGAACGCUGGCGGCAGGCCUAACACAUGCAAGUCGAGCGGCAGCGGGAAAAUAGCUUGCUACUUUUGCCGGCGAGCGGCGGACGGGUGAGUAAUGCCUGGGAAAUUGCCCAGUCGAGGGGGAUAACAGUUGGAAACGACUGCUAAUACCGCAUACGCCCUACGGGGGAAGCAGGGGACCUUCGGGCCUUGCGCGGUUGGAUAUGCCCAGGUGGGAUUAGCUAGUUGGUGAGGUAAUGGCUCACCAAGGCGACGAUCCCUAGCUGGUCUGAGAGGAUGAUCAGGCACACUGGAACUGAGAAACGGUCCAGACUCCUACGGGAGGCAGCAGUGGGGAAUAUUGCACAAUGGGGGAAACCCUGAUGCAGCCAUGCCGCGUGUGUGAAGAAGGCCUUCGGGUUGUAAAGCACUUUCAGCGAGGAGGAAAGGUUGAUGCCUAAUACGUAUCAACUGUGACGUUACUCGCAGAAGAAGCACCGGCUAACUCCGUGCCAGCAGCCGCCGCGG